GAAACUUCCAAUGUGGUGAGGAAAGUAGAAUUAUACAAAGAAGCUGACUCUUACGAUAUCUAUUUCCUGGACUUCCUUCUUUCAGACUGAGAGAAGACACCAGUCUACAUCAAAUGUGAGCAGGGAGUGUGGAAAACCUGCAUCAUUUCUGUCUAAAGAACCAGAGGACAGAGUUUAAGUGGACGUGUAUGCUAGCCAGAACAAGAUAGACACAAAAGAAGAAAGUAA